GGUGGGACUCUUAAGCAACUCAGCAAUUCUUGGCUUCUUUGGCACAAUCCUGGCGGGUGACUUGGCACUGAGAGAUGUUCCAGAAACUUCCUUGGACAGCGGGGUGGCGGGGAGGAGAGAUGUUCAAGAUUUAAUCUAUAGGUGGCUAAAUUGCUGGGUCAUUCAGCUGAGUGGGAGCCCCGCUCUACCUGGGUUCCUGCUUAGGGCCUAUGGAAUGGGACAGAGACUAUUCUGAGGCCCCUGAAGCCACACUGACCACUUCUCCCCAGACUCCCUUGAUUACCUCCUGUUUAGUCGUCAGAGAGAUGCUUAGAUGUCUGGGAAUAAGAGCCUGGUUUUUCAAGGCAGGGAUAUGGAUGGGGAUGUGGGAGGUAGCAGGAAGUAAGAGAAGGAGAAAACACUCAACAGGAGACCCAGGGCUGAUGGAAGAAAGCCGCAAAGACGAGGAUCAGCUGCAAUCGUGGGACUCCCACCUAGACCGAGAUGCCUGAAAGAUUGACAAUGUGGGGAUCCAAACACCUGUGUUCACAGGGGCCAAUGCCAUCUGGCUGGCUUGGGAUGCUUACGUGGCGAUGUGGAGUGACCCAGAGGCCUUGCCCUCCAGACCCAGGGAGAAGACGUCACCAAGGGCAACUCAAGCCUUACCUGUGCGUCACCUGGGAGCCUCGAAGGCUGGACAUGGUUUCUUCCAGGUUCUGUCGAAGAUCCAGAACAUUCUGUACUGUCCUCUUUCUCUGUGACUCCGGAUCUGGCAAGGAGAGCAGAAGGAGCUGGUGAAUGAAGGGAACUGGGGGCCAGGGAAGGGGAGCCAGACCCUGGGGCCAGCCACCUGCUUCUUCUGUUCCCCAAAGAUGACCAACAGAGCAGGUACUAUUAAAGGCUUCUAUAUAUGCCCCAGGCUGGCUGAAAGCCCAACCCUGACAAGGGCUGCAGACAGGCCACUGCACUCCCCCCCCCCUCUCUGAGUGACUGCCACUACCUCUGGCUUUGGUUUUGGGAGGCUCUUCUCACAGCAGAGGCAGAAGUUACAGGUGGAGCCAUCUUCAGGUUCCCAGGGUCCUGACAGUGGGGCGCAAAGUGGGUCUAUCAGAAACUUGCCAAGAGCAUGACUGGACCUGGUGACAGACAGUAACAGAAGAGGUAGAAGCAGCAAGCAGAAAUGGGUCGGAUUUGGUGAGCGAUUGAACAAAUGCAGGAGACAGAGAGACAAAGGAGAAACGGUAAGAGAGCUGCAGGACAAGCCAGCCUGGCCAGUCUAGAUGGGAAUCCUCCACCAUUUCCUGGUUUAUCCCUAAGGAUCAAGACUGUUGCAGAAUUCUCCAAACCCCCACCCAGCAAAAUGAACAGCACAAUAAACUCAACCUCAUCUACCAAUUGAGAAAUACACUGCUGGACUACAUCUCAGAGGGUGGGAGGAGCUUCAAGCCGCCACUUGCCUCCAGGUGCUUCACUUCCCCAGAUGCACACUGCUAAUUGCAAGCCCCCAGGUUCUUGUUCUCCAAACACCUCCACCCGCCUUGGGAGACAAGUUGUGAAUGAGACCACUACCCAGCUUGGCUAAGGGAAAGGUGUGGAGAAGACCAGCUGCUGCCCUCUGCCGCAGCGCGGGAGGGCAGUGAAGGAGGGGCUUUAUUUGGGUGACUGCCGAAGCAGGCAGAGUUCCCUGGGGUCUUCAAGGACACUGAGUAGGAGCAAGAAGCAGAGCCAGCUGUGUAUCUGGUGAAAGUUUCCAGCUCUUAAGGAGAUUUGGAGGCUGAGAAGAGACUACCCAUGAGAGAAGAUUCGAGAAAGCAAGAUUCUCUUGGUUCUGGAAGGAAUGGAGGCCCAGGAGUGAACAGUCCAAUUACAUCCCCACACUGUAGGAGUAGUUAGUGCAAAGCAGAAGGCAAUGGAUGUGGGCUCCUGGCUUGGCAAAGAGUGCCACGUCCAUAGCAUUCUAGAAAGAGAGCUCAAUAGCCCUAACUGUAACCCUACCUACUAGAGUGCUGUUGUGGGUCUGUGAGCUGAGGAAGGCUGCAGAGGUAAAAACACAUGCUCUCCAAGCCCCACCUAAACUCUCCUGGUCUGGAUGUAAGCCCAAGUAGGGGGAAAGGACCACAGAAAUUCUGAAAUGAAACAUCUUGGCCUUCAGGUUCCUCUCCUACCCUUCGAUUUCAGAAAAUUGUCCAAUGGUUCCACCAGGGCAAUGGCCCAUCCCACAGUUUGCUCAAGUACCACCAUACUGUAGGUGGAGCCGGGGAAAAGACGGCAAGAGGUGGGCCAUGAAAUUCAGACACCCUGUGUCUCAUCUGGUGUCUACUGUGAGGCAAUGGAAGAACAGGAUUGUCUGUAGUGGCUCUCAGCAUGCCCAGUGUCUGUGUGGCUCUCCCAGUAUCAUGACAAAGGGAUCUUCGAGUCUCCACAUUGAGCUUAUGAUAGGCCACCUUUGACAAGAAGGUCCUGUCAGCAAAGAGACUAUGAGAGACGGCUGGCUCCAGUCCUCAGCACCCUCCUGGCAUUUCCAGUCUCAGUUAACAGUGUCCAGACAGCUCCUGGCCGAUAGUCCAUGUCUACGCCCUGAGCAGAGUUGGUAUUCAACUGCAGUGUCAUAGCUGCAUCCACAGACCUGUGCCUGUGUCUCUCCCUGAGUGUCUGCCUAGGUCCUCUCUUCCCCCAGUAGGUUAGGGACUCUCUGUGGGCAGGGCCUGUUUCUUUGCUCUGCAUUUCUGUGCUGAGCCUGGCUGAGGAUUCAGAGUGUUGGGAGCUGAGAGUGGACCACACUGGAGGUGGCUGAUAGCAAUGGGCCUAACACUUCCACUUGUGAAGAGGAGGAGAGAAAGAUGUGGUUGAGUCUCACUUUAGGAGAGGCUAGGAAUAACUACGAACUCUGCUUCAGGGGCUGGAAAGAUGGCUCAGCAAUUUGGAGCACUUGUUGCUCUUGUAGAAGACCCAUGUUUGAUUCCAGACACCUACACAUGGUGGCUCACAACCAUACCUAAAUCCUGUUCCAGGGGCUCCAACCUCCUUUUCUGGCCUCCUCAGACACCAGGCACACGUGCGACACACAUACAUACACACAGGCAAAACACUCAAGAAGAAUUCUGCCUCAGCCAUUCCAUCGUCUCCCAUUGUUCCUGGUGCUCUCCAGCAUUUGAUCAUCUCUAGCUACUAUGCCAAGAGAAGGAACAGAAGUGAAAUCUGGUACGUGUGUGCCUCCCACGACUCUCCCUUACAAAUGCACUCUUGUUUUACUCAUAUAUGCCACGGCCCAUCUGGGGGUCUUGUCUGCCCACAUGCAGGAAGCCUUGGACUCCAAUCUUAAGAGCAACCUACAAAAUAUGGGGACAAGAUCUGAAUUUUUUUUUUAACUUUUGUUGCAUUCUCACAGAGCCUAAAACAAUGCAUUCAUUAAAAAACAGCGAGAGUGUAUGAUUAAACUCACUUUUUUUUUUAGCCUGUGAAAAGUGUUAUUUCUAAAAUUAACAGCAGUACUUCUGAAAAGCCAAGAAUCAGGCUUGUAUUUGACCCUAAUGCCUGUUGGCCAGAAGAGCUUUGGAACACCACUGUUCACUCCAUCAGGCUACAGAAACAACAGAGCACAGGUACCUGGGCAUCUCUGGGGCUAUGAGCUCAUAUAGCAGAACUUUUUUUGUAGUAUGCAUAUCAGACCUGCCUUCCGGGAUGCAGAAUUCAGCUCUCACUAUAGAGACACAGGUUACCGAGCUCUUAAAGUGCCCCAACUGUCCCAUUUGCAGGCCCACUUUGUUUCUGUGGCCUCUUGGCCCCCAGACACCUAUGUUAAGGCUACAGGUGUCUGGAGUACGAUCACUCAUGGUAGUGGGCUCAGAUAAGUAACCUAAGCCCCAUGUUCCUCCACUUCCUGCUUUUCAAGUGUGAAUUCUGAGGACAGUAAGCCAUGUUUUGUAGUAUUGUGAGGAUUUGUGGACCUACUAUGCAAAGGUAACCCAGCAAUGCCUAGCACAAUGAAAAUGUUCUAAUAUCUAAAGUCUGGGUAAACUGGCCUCACAGCCAGUUCCCAGGGACCUCUGUGUUGUGUCCUGAGGAAAGGAGAAGUAACAUGAAAAGGAGAGAGGGCACUGCUCAGGGUAGGGAUGAGAAAAGAUGUGGAGGUCAGGAUGACAAAGCUAGUCUUAUGUUACCCACCUUUCUUUCAUAAACUGGGGCUAAACUUCAUGCAGAUUCAAGAGCCUUCUAAGGGCUCUACCUCAGGCCUACAUGACAUGACUCACCAGAGAUAAAGGCCAGUGACUAGAUAAAGGACUAUGACUAGUGGUAUGGUUCCCCAUGGGAUCUCCUAGACAAGGGCCCCUUUGUGGCCAAGUCCACUGACCAGACAGUUGGUAUACUGUGUGAGGAAUGCACCGUGUCCAAAGAGGUCCCCCUCCCCCCACCAUCCACACAACUGUGUCUUCUGUUGAUGACAAGUACCCCCAUCCCAGCAGCAACUAGGAAGAAUGGAGCAAAUAACCUCUACUUGGAAGAGAUGCAUAAGCUGAGGACCCAGGAGGUAAAAUGAGUUGUUCAGGGUCUCAGAGAAACACUGUGGACCAAGUGUACAGUCCUUGCUAUUGGAAGAGCUUGGUUUACCAUCUCACCUGUGUCAUGCCAGCAGAGGUGGGUAGGGAGGCAGGUACAGGGUGGUCAGUUAUGUACAAGGGUGCUUUAACAUGUGGGAGCUCUCAGUUGAGCUCAUAAAAAACUGAGUGGAGUAAAUGUCAAUAAGGCAACAUGGAACACCAAAAUGUAACAUGAGUCACAUGGGGGGCAAUAGUAUCCUCCUGGAAGUCAAGGGUCAAUUACUAUUAUUAUUCUUUAAUCUUGUAUAUGUAUGAUGUGUGUGUUUGAAUAUGGGUGGGUGUCAGCCAUAGUACAUGUAUGAUGGUCAGAGGACAACCUCUGGUGUUGGGCCUUCCCUUCCACCUUCAGACCGUGCCUCUAUUAGUGACCACUACAUACGCCAGGCUGGCUGGCCCACUAGCUUCCAGUGAUUUUCCUAUUACUGUCUCAAAUCCUUGUAGAGGGCCUGGGAUUACAGAUACCUACACUACGGUGCCUCACUUGUACAUGGGUUCUAGAGAUCCAAAUGCAGGUCAUCAAGUUUGUUCUGCAAGCACUUUACCUACCAAACCAUCUCCCCAGCCCCUCAGGGACCAAUUCUACACUUCUGUGAUCUCAAUCAUGGUCUUGGCUCAGUCAAACUUGUUGCCUAAGUAAGUGAACUAAGGCUCUUUGGGGGCUACAUUUAACUCUUCUAUUUGGGCACAUGUGCGGUGGCCAUGAUCUACAUCACAACUACCCAGCUCUGAGAGUACCACACUAGCCUUUUCCGAGACUCGAGAUGGCAUAACGGCUGUAGCCCUCACUAUCACCACCACCACCAAAUGCCUCUGCAAUCACCAUCACCCAAACCAUCUUACCCUCCUCACAUCCCUCAUUUUUCUACUAUCAUCCCAUCACUGGUCAUCACCAUCAGCACCAUCACCAUCACCAUCACCAUCAUCACUAUCUCUAACGCCACCACCAACCAUCAUUGUCACUCUCACUGCUGCGGCCAUUGCCAUGGUCUUCACCACAUCUUCCCACUUCCGACAGUGUGAUUGCCUCUCCUUCUUCCCUGAGUUCAGUUUGUAUGAAUCUUGUGGACUGUAAGUUCAGUUAAAAUUACUUGGUUUUUUGACAAAUGGCAUUAUUACUAGAAAAGUUGAGGAUUUUGUAGUUUUUAAUCAAACGUACAUGCUUUACAUAUAAGAAACUUAUGUAUAGGCAAAAUAAAGUUUGUCAGUUUUAUUUUUAAGUGAAUAUGAAAAAUACACAUAUAUAUGAAAACUUUAAUGAAUGGGAGCACAAAUGAUCACAUCUUGUCACUGAAGACCUUCUGUGGGGUCAGAGGACAAGUUCUCUAGGACCACGGACUCUGUUCUUCCCAGAAUUCCCCUGGCAGGUUGCUCAGCUUCUCUACUUUGAUUGUCUCCCUGGAGCUUAUUCAUGGCCCUGAUGGGGAAUGUCCUUCUGUAUAUGUUUAUCUUAUUGGUUGUUGAAUAAAGCACUGUUUGGCCAAUGAAGCAGAAAGAUAGUUGGGACUAGGAGUUGAGGAGGAUUCUGGGAA